UACGGAGGGAGCUAGCGUUGUUCGGAAUUACUGGGCGUAAAGCGCACGUAGGCGGUUAUUCAAGUCAGAGGUGAAAGCCCGGGGCUCAACCCCGGAACGGCCUUUGAAACUAGAUAGCUAGAAUCUUGGAGAGGUCAGUGGAAUUCCGAGUGUAGAGGUGAAGUUCGUAGAUAUUCGGAAGAACACCAGUGGCGAAGGCGGCCGACUGGUCCGGUUCUGACGCUGAGGCGCGAAAGCGUGGGGAGCAAACAGG
rnacentral:rRNA from 1 species